GACGAACGCUGGCGGCGUGCUUAACACAUGCAAGUCGAACGGAAAGGCCCCUUUGGGGGUACUCGAGUGGCGAACGGGUGAGUAACACGUGAGUAACCUGCCCUUGACUUCGGGAUAACUUCAGGAAACUGGGGCUAAUACCGGAUAGGAAUCCUUGCUGCAUGGUGGGGGUUGGAAAGCUUCGGCGGUUUUGGAUGGACUCGCGGCUUAUCAGCUUGUUGGUGGGGUAGUGGCUUACCAAGGCUUUGACGGGUAGCCGGCCUGGGAGGGCGACCGGCCACAUUGGGACUGAGGUACGGCCCAGACUCCUACGGGAGGCAGCAGUGGGGAAGAUUGCACAAUGGGCGGAAGCCUGAUGCAGCAACGCCGCGUGCGGGAUGACGGCCUUCGGGUUGUAAAACGCUUUCAGCAGGGGCGAAGCUUGUGGUGACGGUACCUGCAGAAGAAGCACCGGCUAACUACGUG
rnacentral:rRNA from 1 species